GGGUUCCCUUCCCUCAGCGUGCUGGAGCUGUCAUCUGAUGUUCGUCCCUGAAGCCAGAUCAGAGAGUUUCUCUGCCCUUCGCUGCCUUCAGCUUUCCUCCUAAGCACCCUUUGCGGGCAGCCGCGCAGCUCUGAACUCGAGAGAGAAAUGGUAGACUGAAAUGGCUCCAUAAGAAGAGGAGCCCAUGACUCUGGCAAGAAACAAACGGCUGAUAAGAGAUGAAAAAUGAGAAGAUACCAUUUUGUACAUUUUACAAGGAGAGGAUAAAUUACUUUGAAGUUUGGAAGUCACUUCUUUAGAUAUCUAUUUUCUUUAUUAUAUUCUUGCUUUUUUAUUCCUCUUCAUUUCUCUAUUUUUUUCUCUUUUUGCUGCACCUUCUAUUCUUUUAUAUAUUUUUAGAUUGUAUUAGUUUUUACUAGUGUAAUUAUGAUCUUUAAUAAAAACAAUGAUUAAAAAAACCAGAAUUCUUAUUGCA